CCUCAGUACUGCAUGAUAUAUGAUAUGUUGGGAUAUUUAACCAUCAAUAUGUAGGAUGCUGGCUAUAAGCCUAAACUUGAACUAAUAGAAGAGUGGAUCUAUGGGCUAGAAGAAUAAAAAACUAUUAGUUCUCCCACUAUGUUGUUGUUCUCGGACUAUGUAGCUUUGUAUUCAUGAUAUUUUUGGACAGGAUUUUGCUAGAGUUAAUAUGAUCGUAGUUUAUCAAUGACCAGCUGCCUUUGAAAUUCGAGGUAAUUAAGUUGUGUUUUAGCUUUUUUUAGUUUAGUUUUUUCUUCUGAAUUAUGCUUUUUUACUUUGUAAAGAUACUCAGAAGUAGGAUAUUCAGUUAGUGAAAUAUAUGUAUAAUUCUUUAUUACNNNNNNNNNNNNNNNNNNNNNNNNNNNNNNNNNNNNNNNNNNNNNNNNNUCAAGAAUAUCCAUUUUACCUUUUUGGUGGGAAACGAGGAGUCCCAGAUCGCAAAAGAAGGGUCUUAUCCAAAAUGACAACUUCUAUCAAGCUGUCUGAUUGACUGAAGCACAUGUAAAUUAGGUGACCAGUUCUUUCCUUUGAAUAACUUAUACUUGUCCUGCAGGUCGACUUUUAAACUGUUGUAUUAAGGAUUUUCUUUGAUAUAGUGUUUGCAAGUUCAUGCGUGUUUUUAUAUUGGAGCCAAAUGGCAUUAAUAACACUUGUUAAGGUUGGUCCAGAUAACUAUUAAUAUGUCUGCUAAGGUUGGUUCAAUCAGUGGGAUAUUAUAGUUCAUCUUUCAAUAGCAUGAUUUCACUAUAUAGACCCUUUUGUUGUGUAUUUUUCAUCUUGGCUUAUCAAACCUCUAAGAAGUACUUAGGAAAUCAUUAAGAACCCCUAAUAGUUUAGCAACCUCCUCAAUUUCACAAUCAUUCAAUGCGCUCCUAAAAAGUAGAUUCCAACCGUGUUGACUCCAGGCUUGUUCCACAGUGUCAUUGUUCUGCAUACUCAAUGUAUAUAGAAGAGGGAAUAGGUUUCUAAAACUGUCUUCUUCUAUCUAUCUUUCAUUCAAGAACUCUGUCUUCCGUCCAUCCCCAACACCUAAUACAUAUGUUGUUUUUGAAAUGUGGCCAUAGUCUUCUAAUGGUCUUCCAAACACUGCAUCCAAAUGUGCCCAUCACCUCUUCAGUUGUCCAUUGGUUAAAUAAACCAUACUUUCCUGAUAUAAAUCUCUUCUAUAAGGCUCUAUAUUCUAUACAGAAUGUCCAUAGCCACUUUUGGAGUAAACUACUGUUUUAGAGACUUAGGUCCUUCAACCCUAGCCUCCUUGGUUUUUGCUAAGUGUGAGAGUAUCCCACUUCACCAAGUUGUAGCCUUCCCUUUCCUUAUUGCCUUGCCAAAGAAAAGAUAUCCUGAGCCUAUUUAUUUUCUUCUCAAUGUUCUUGGGGACUGGAAAUAAACUCAUCAUAUAAGUAGGUGAUUCAUCUAAUACUGUCUUGAUGAGGGUCACCCUACCACCUAUGGACAAAUACUAGCUUCUUCACCGGGCUUAUUUUCUCCCACAUCUCUCCAACACCACAUUGCACACUUCCAGCUCUUUGUUCUUAGCACCCAAAGGUAGUUCCAGAUAUUUUGUUGGUUGUGCAUCUACCUAGCAACUCAAUGUCUCAACUAGCCCAAGAAAAUUGUCAACUUGCUUGAUAUGGAGGAGAUGACUCUUCAGCCAAUUGACAUGGAGGCUUGAAAUGCUCUGCUAAAUAGUGAGUAUUGCCCUUAUGUGUCUAAUUUGUUCCUCCUUUGCCUCAUAGAAUAUAAGAGCAUCAUCAACAUAGAAUAAAUGUGUUAUCUGCAGCUCCUUCCCUCUCCCAGAAAGUGCACUAAAUCCUCUCCAACCCAUUACUCUUUGCCUUCCGGAACAUGUGAUUCAACCCCUUCAUGGCUAUUAAGAAUAGGAAUAGGGACAUAGGAUCUCCCUGUCUAAGACCUCUCUGAGAUUGGAAGAAUCCUUCAGUGUUUCCAUUUAUGAGGAGGGAAAACUUCACACUUGAAAUGCAGUUAUUGAUCCAGCCAAUCCACUUGCUACCAAAUCCCAUGUCCUUUAGUUUUUUUAGAAGGAAAUUCCAAUUAACAUGUUCAUAGGUUUUCUCAAUGUCUAGCUUGCAUAGAAUCCUAGGUUUUUUCUGCCUUACCUUGGAGUUGACCAUUUCAUUAGCCAACAAUGCUGCAUCCAUUAUUUGCCUACAUCUUAAAAAAGACAUUUGGUGUUCAUCAACCAAUUUCACUAUCACUGUCUUCAUUCUCUCAGAUAGCAACUUGGAGUUGAUUUUAUUGACUACUCCUAUCAAACUGAUAGGUCUAAAGUCUUUUAGCUCAAUUGCAUCAGGUUUCUUUGGGAUUGAAGGGAUCAAUAUAGCAUUAAAUGAUUUCUCAAACGCACUCCUUUGAUGGAAAUUUUUUGUGCUCAACAUUCAGUUCUCUUUCAAAAUAUCCCAACAUUUCUUAAAGAAAUCCAUAGUGAAGUCAUCAGGGUCUGGUGCUUUGUCCCCGUCAUACUGGUUGAUGAUCAAUAACACUUCCUCUUCUGUAAAUGGUCUUUGUAACCAUUCAUUUUCUUCUAUAGACUGUUGGACAUCCUACAAAAUGAAAAGAGGGUCUCUAGGAUUCAAGUUCCGAGUAGAGUCUGGCAUUUAAUUCAUAUGACAUGGCUAUAAAAUAGGUUGCUUUAGUGGUUCCAAAUCCCACAAUGUUAUGUGUUGAGCCAUCAACUACCAUUACUUGAGAGGGUUCUUUGUGUGAUCGAAAGGUAGAAAAUAUAUUAGGAUUACGUGUCAUGUAAUUACUAGUACCUGUAUCAAUCACCCAGUUGUUCAAAGAGGAGAUCGCAUAUGCUUUUCUUGAAUCAACAAGGGUAGUAACUGAAGUGAAUUCUUUAAGGGAUUCUUGAUACUAAGAGGACUCGCAAACUCAUUCGCCGAAACCAAAAUUGUCUUACCCUAAUAAUUUAUAUUUAUUUGAGUUAUAGUUUCAACUCAAAAUAUUAAUAUAGGAGAAGCUAACAAACACAAACAAUACCAACAUAUACAAUCCAGUACUGAAAAGGCAAUUUGUUAAUAUCAAGACAUGCAAAAUUUUAUGGCAAAAUUUUAUGGGAUUAAGUCCAUAUAAAAUUUGAACGAAUUUAUAAAUUCAAGACAUAUUGACCUAAGUGAACAUUUUGGGUUAAUACAGCCAAAUUAAUUAUUUAAGUCAAGAUUGCAUGACUUAAGUCAAACCCAACUACAUUGGGCUAGGUUGGGCUUCUACAAAAUGGUCCACCCACAUGUUUUAAGACCAAGGGUCCAUUAGGAUUACUUGGAGACUACCGUAAAACCUUUCAUUCAUGCCUAUAUAAAAUAAAAAGGCUACAUAUUCUCUUUGGAGGCAUCUUGAAAAUUCUAUAACAUCUUGGCAGAUUCUAAGAUGGGAUUGGACAAAGACAAGAGAGUGCUCAACUGGAACAACGGCCAACAAAGACCAAUUACUUAGAUAACGAUUCUUCCCCUUCUCCUUUAAGGCUUUAAGGCGAACUGUAUGGAUGUAGGAAAGAAAGACGUCCUCACCUUCUCUAGUGUUAGUGAGAGCAAUUUGAGUAUCCUUCAUGCACCUCCUUUCGUAGAUAGAAUCUUAAUGAGUGGAAACAAGCAACCUUACUAAGAAAGGUGCUUUUUGAGUAAGGCCCACUUUCAAGCCAACCCUUGGUAUAGGUUGGGAACUUGAGCGCAUGAUUGGUCCAUUGAAGAUUGUACAAGCCCAACGCAGGCAUGCAUACACUUAUAUCAUGAUCAUGUCAAUGCCAUCAACAAGCCAAAUAUCAUUUAUUUGUUCUAUUAAGUACUUCUUUCACGUCAUUAGCUUUAAAAAAUUGUCUCCCUUUACUGGUUCACCUCGAUGAAAAACUUAAGAAUUGCCUAGCUUCAGAAGGUCAUCAAUAAUAUUUGAUUCCAAGAAAUUAGCAACCAAUUCACCCAAAAAAAUAAUUGUAGUCGAUAGUCAAAUACCAGAUUUAUUUGACAUCAAGAACAAGCAUCCACAAAAAACUAUUAAUUCAAUAUUGAGCAAAACUCCGCAAAUCACGACAACACCAAACUGAAACAAGAUCUAAAUCUCUGAAGGAGAGACUAGCAUACUAGAACAUUAAUUGUCCCGAACAACAUGUUUUCGCCCUAGUCUAUUUCCAUUAUUAUGUAUUGCCAGCUUGGAAAGGGAUCUUCACGUGAUAUUCAAUUAGAGGAAAUACGUGUAAGCACCGUUUGUCUUAGCAACAAGUUACUCAAAAAUAUCUCUAGAACUAAAGUUUUUAUGAAGACCAAAUACACCUAUGAGAUAUAUGAAGAUGUACUCUAUCCACCUAAAAAUAUAAUAAGAUAUGAGAUGUUUAGAAGCACACCAACGUGGUGAUUGAGAAAUAAGAAAUUUUGAAAUUCCAUUUUAGUAAAAAUGUAAGUAGUGCAAUCAAAUACAAGAAAUGAUAUAAACAUCAAUUCAGAUUAUUAAUGUCGUCUUCAAGAACUGUACUGGACACUGACCUGUGUUCCUGUUCUGUCCAAGAAGCCCCUUUUCGCCAUUCUACAUCUACAAAAAAUGAUAUAAACAUCAAUUCAAAGUAUUAACUCUGGUUUUGCAUUUCAGGAUAAUUAGAUAAUGUACAUAUCCAGACUCGAUGAUAUUGGUAUCUUCAAUUAAUACAUUACAAUGAUCCUUAAUAACAUCCGUCAAUUUCCCAAGAAGUGCUUUUGCCACUUCCUCCAAUAGAUUGUUGUUAUCCUUGUUGAUCGCAAAAGUAUUCUCAAAGAUUUUAUUCUCCUCCUUAGUCCAGAAGGAGUUAUUGCAUGUUCGAUCAGUGUUCAUUUUCUUUUAGAUCUACAAGGUUAGCUCAAACAUGAAAAAGGUAAGCUCUUCAAGAGGAUUCAAAAAACGGAUAAGUGUCAAUAUAUAACCAAAAUUUAUCAUAACUAUCGGGCAUCUAAAAUAAGAUUUUUUGUAACCCCUGACACUUAGAAAUCAGAAACAAUCUCAACAACACACAAUCUUCUAAAUCAGUUAUGGAUACUAAGAGAGACUAUUUCUGACACACACUUGGCUCAAGUUACUUUUCUUAGUAUCCAUAACUGAUUUAAAAGAAUGUGUGUUGCCGCGAUUGUUUUUGAUUACUAAGUGAUAGAGGUUACAAAAAAUCUUAUUUUAGAUGCCCGAUAUUUAUGGUAGUUUUUGGUUAUAUAUUGACACUCCUCCGUUUUCUUAAUCCUCUUGAAGAGCUUUAUCUUUUUCAUGUUAAAGCUUUCGUUGUUGAUCUAAAAGAAAAUGAACACCGAUCGGACAUGCAAUAACUCCUUCUAGACUAAGGAGGAGGAUAAAAUCUUUGAGAAUACUCUUGCGAUCAACGAAGAUAACAACAAUCUAUUGGAGGAAAUGGCAAAAGCACUUCUUGGGAAAUUGACGGAUGAUAUUAAGGAUCACUAUAAUAUCUUAAUUGAAGAUACCAAUGCCAUCGAGUCUGGAUAUGUCCCAUUACCUAAUUAUUCUGAAAUGCAAAACCAGAAUUCAAAAGCAUAUGUAGAAUGGUGAAAUGGGGCUUCUUGGACCAAAUAGGAACACAUGUCAGUUUGCAGUACAGUUCUUGAGGACGACAUUAAUAAUCUGAAUUGAUGUUCAUAUCAUUUCUUGUAUUUGAUUAGACGUCUUACAUUUUUACUAAAACGGAAUUUCAAAAUUUCUUAUUUUUCAAUGACCACGUUGGUGUGCUUCUAAACAUCUCAUAUAUUAUUAUAUUUCUAGGUGGAUAAAGUACAUCUUCAUAUAUUUCAUAGGUGUAUUUGGUCUUAACUGCAUCACCAAUAUAAUACAAAGUAUUAAUUCCAACUUCUGAGUUCCACAAUAUUUUCAGAUUAAAUAUGUAGGUUUUUACUUUUUAAAAUUGUCAAUGGUUAGGCUUGCUUUCAUGAGAAGUGGAUGAGUAUUUGUAAGAUAAUAAUUUUGAAGUGGAUGAGUAUUUGUAAGACCAAACCAUUGUCUCACAGGCUCCAUCUUUGAGUUUAACCCAUCUCCCAAAUUAAUCUUCCCUACUCCUCACCGACCAACAAUGCACUUUCACAGAGCCAAAACCCAGAACAAUUCGCUUUCGUUUAACCCCAUCUCGCCCGCCAACUGUUCGAUACAAUUCCUCAACCAACAAUUGUCCUUUUGGAACACAAUUAUCAUUGGGUUUAUCUGUAAUAACAUGCCCCAUGAAGCAAUUUCAUUCUAUUUCGAUUGAAACAUGUGGGUUCAUCCGUAUGUGAUCAGUAUACUUAUUCCUCUGUUAUCAAGGCUUGCGCGGAGACCAAACGGAUUCUUGUAGGUAAUGCUGUGCAUUGCCACAUUCUGAGUUCUGGGAUUCGUCCUAGUAGGAUUGUUAGUAAUUCUUUGUUGAAUAUGUACUCUGCUACUUGUCUUACAUUGGAUAAUGGUUCUGAUUGUGAUUUUGUUGAAAGGGUGUUUAGAACUAUGCGUAAAAGAAUGUUGUUGGGUGGAAUACUAUUUUUUCUUGGUAUAUGAAAAGGAAGAGGUUUUCGGAAGCAGUGAGGUGCUUUGUUAUGAUGAUGAGAUUAGGCAUUAAGCCAACUGUUGUUAAUUUUACUAAUGUUUUUCCUGCUGUAUCAGAAACAGGGGAUGUUAGAGUUACUGAUUUUCUUAAUGGAUUGCUUGUGAAAUUGGGUAAUGCAUAUGUAAAUGACCUGUUUGUUGUUAGUGCUGCUAUUGUUAUGUAAGCUGAGCUUGGCUGUGUUGAUUUGGCGACCAGAAUAUUUGAGAAUACUUGUGAAACAAAUACAGAGAUCUGGAACUCAUGAUUAGCGGGUACAUUCAGAACAAUUUUCCUUUUAAAGCAGUUGAUCUCUUUCUUGAAGCUGUAGAAGCAGAGGAUGCUGUUACUACUGAUGAUGUGACAUUUGUAUCUGCUCUUAUGGCAACUUCACAGUUGCAGCAUUUUGAGUUUGCCCAACAGCUACAUGCAUGUCUGAUAAUGAAAUGCAGGGAUUCACAGGUUAUUUCGUUUAAUGCUAUGAUAGCCACAUAUUCUAGGUGUAACCAUAUUGGCAAUUCACUUUAAGUUUUUAAUGGAAUGAAGGAAAGAUAUAUUGUGUCAUGGAACACCGUGGUGUCUGCUUGGUACAGAACGAACUGGAUAACGAGGCUUUGAUGCUUGUAUAUGAGAUGAAAAAGCUAUGGGGUUGCAAUUGAUGAUAUAACAAUUACCAUCCUGCUUUCUGCGGCAUCAAAUCUUAGGGACAGGGAAAUUGGUAAACAGACCCAUGCUUAUCUUCUGAGGCACAAUUUUCAAUUUGAAGGGAUGGAGAGUUACCUGAUAGUCAUGUAUGCCAAAUCUAAUAUGAUUAGAGAAGAACGAGCAAUAUUCCAGUUGAACUUCACAUAUGAUAAAGAUCAAGCCACGUGGAAUGCUGUGAUUGCUGGAAACACUCAGAAUGGAUUAAUUGAACAAUCCUUUGUUGUCUUCAAGGAGAUGCUUGAGCAGAAUGUGAAGCCAAAUGCUGUGACCUUAGCAACAAUCCUCCCAUCAUGCAGCCAGUCAGGAAGUAUAGCAAUAGGCAAGCAGCUACAUUAUUUUGCAAUUCGCUAAUUGUUUGAGGACAAUGUUUAUGUUGUUUCUGCUUUGGUAGACAUGUAUUCAAAAUCAGGAAUCAUUGAUUAUGCUGAAAGUGUUUUCUAAAAUCUCCUGAGAAGAACUCUGUGACAUAUACAAAUAUGAGUUUGGGAUAUGGCCUUCAUGGGAUGCGUAGGAAAGCUCUAAAACUGUUCUACUCUUUGCGGCAGAAUGGUUUAGAACCAGAUGCUGUUACCUUUGUGGCAGUCCUGUCUACUUGCAGCUACACCGGAUUGGUUGAUUAAGGCCUUCAAAUAUUUGAGCUGAUGGGUGAAGAAUAAGGGAUUCAGCCGUCAGCAGAGCACUAUGCUUGUGUGGUUGACAUGUUAGGAAGAGUUGGACGGUUGGAUGAAGCUCAUAAUUUUGCUAAACAGUUGGGUGUUGAGGGUAAUAACUUGGGAAUAUGGGGAUCACUCCUUGCAGCCUGCAGAGUGCAUAGAAAUUUUGAAUUGGGGAAAAUUGUUUCCAGUUAGCUGCUUGAAUUCGAGGGGAAUGAUGGAAUUUCUGGUUAUCAUGUUCUGCUUUCAAAUAUAUAUAUGCAGAGGAAGGAAACUGGCAGUCUGUAGAUAACGUCAGAAGAGGAAUGCGCAAAAUGGGAUUGUCAAAGGAGGUUGGGUGUAGUUGGAUUGAUACUUCUGGAUAUCCACACUGUUUUGUAUCUAAAGAUAAGAAGCUUCCUCAGUACUGCAUGAUAUAUGAUAUGUUGGGAUAUUUAACCAUCAAUAUGUAGGAUGCUGGCUAUAAACCUAAACUUGAACUAAUAGAAGAGUGGAUCUAUGGGCUAGAAGAAUGAAAAGCUAUUAGUUCUCCCACAAUGUUGUUGUUCUCCGACUAUGUACCUUUGUAUUCAUGACAUUUUUGGACAGGAUUUUGCUAGAGUUAAUAUGAUCGUAGUUUAUCAGUGACCAGCUGCCUUUGAAAUUCGAGG
rnacentral:lncRNA from 1 species